GGGCGUUUGGCACAGUGGUAGCGCGCCUGCUUUGCAUUGUGUAACCCAAGGUUAUGUAAUUGGAUUGCAUGAGGUCGAGGGUUCAAACCCCUCAACGUCCA